GGAGAAGUGACCGAGUGGCUGAAGGUGCUCGCCUGCUAAGCGAGUGGUUGGGGAAACCUGAUCCGAGAGUUCGAAUCUCUCCUUCUCCGCCA
rnacentral:tRNA from 1 species